CAAUAACCAUGUUCCUUAUCUUGUAAUUUUAGUGAUUUAGUAUUUAUCAUACCCGCAUUGUAUAAGGUGCAAAACUCGGAUCAAUGCCCCACCGAGCGAUGGCGUGGCAUUGAGUUCGAGUGACCUAUUUACGGAACUUUCGUUGACCUCUAGCGUCAGUCAGAUAUUUUAUUUGUAAUAAAUUAUGAACUUUUAAAGAAUACAGGAUUUAAAAAAAAAUCGUAGUUUUCUAAUGGUAUCUUAGCAGUUAUCAUUAGUACUAUCACCUGCCUUCGUCUUUGCUAGCGUUCUGGUUACACCCUGUAUAU